UGGGAUAUAGCUCAAAUGGGAGAGCACGGCGUCGAAAUGCCGAGGUUGGGGGUUCGAUCCCUCCUAUAUCUA
rnacentral:tRNA from 1 species